UGAAUACGAGAUGCUACGGCGUCGAAGCAGUCUAUGUCAUACUUCCAAGAAAAGCUUGCACUGUCAUAAACAAAUAAUGCCUGUACCAUAACCGACACAGGUGGGUAGGUAGAGUAUACUAAGGGGCGCGAGAUAACUCUCUCUAAGGAACUCGGCAAAAUGACUCCGUAACUUCGGGAGAAGGAGUGCCUUAUUUAUAAGGUUGCAAUAACAAGAUCCAAGCAACUGUUUACCAAAAACACAGGUCUCCGCUAAGUCGUAAGACGAUGUAUGGGGGCUGACGCCUGCCCAGUGCCAGAAGGUUAAAGAAGUUGGUUAGCAUCCGCGAAGCUGAUAACUGAAGCCCUGGUGAACGGCGGCCGUAACGAUAACGGUCCUAAGGUAGCGAAAUUCCUCGUCGGGUAAGUUCCGACCCGCACGAAAGGCGUAAUGAUUUGGAUACUGUCUCGGAGAGGGGCUCGGUGAAAUAGACUUGUCUGUGAAGAUGCGGACUACCUGCACCAGGACAGAAAGACCCUAUGAAGCUUUACUGUAACCUGAAAUUGAAAUUGGACUUUACUUGCGCAGUAUAGGUGGGAGGCGUUGAGAAUAUUCUUGCGGGAUUAUUGGAGCCAUCAGUGAGAUACCACUCUUGUAAUGUUAGAUUUCUAACUUUGUAUCAUUAUCUGGUCAAAGAACAGUUUCAGGCGGGCAGUUUGACUGGGGCGGUCGCCUCCUAAACGGUAACGGAGGCGCACAAAGGUUUCCUCUGAACGGGUAGAAAUCGUAUCUAGAGUGUAAAGGCAUAAGGAAGCUUGACUGUGAGACCUACAAGUCGAGCAGGGACGAAAGUCGGUCUUAGUGAUCUGACGGUGCUGAGUGGAAAGGCCGUCACUCAACGGAUAAAAGUUACUCUAGGAUAACAGGCUGAUCUCCCCCAAGAGUUCACAUCGACGGGGAGGUUUGGCACCUCGAUGUCGGCUCAUCGCAUCCUGGGGCGGUAGUACGUCCCAAGGGUUGGGCUGUUCGCCCAUGAAAGCGGUACGCGAGCUGGGUUCAGAACGUCGUGAGACAGUUCGGUCCAUAUCCGGUGUAGGCGUUAGAAUAUUGAGAGGAGCCUUCUUUAGUACGAGAGGACCGAGACGGACAUACCUCUGGUGCACCAGUUAUCGUGCCAACGGUAAACGCUGGGUAGCUAUGUGUGGAGUGGAUAACCGCUGAAAGCAUCUAAGUGGGAAGCCCACCUCAAGAUAAGUAUUCUC
rnacentral:rRNA from 1 species